AUACGUAGGGAGCGAGCGUUGUCCGGAAUUACUGGGCGUAAAGGGCGCGUAGGCGGCGCUUCAAGUCGUCUGUCAAAUGGGAGGGCUUAACCCUUUUUCGCAGACGAAACUGGAGAGCUUGAGAAGCAGAGAGGCAAACAGAAUUCCUGGUGUAGCGGUGAAAUGCGUAGAUAUCAGGAAGAAUACCAGUGGCGAAGGCGGUUUGCUGGCUGCAUACUGACGCUGAAGCGCGAAAGCCAGGGGAGCAAACGGGAUUAGAUACCCCGGUAGUCCUGGCAGUAAACGAUGUAUGCUGGGUGUGAGACUAGCGAUAGUUUCGUGCCGAAGUUAACGCGAUAAGCAUACUGCCUGGGGAGUACGGUCGCAAGAUUGAAACUCAAAUGAAUUGACGGGG
rnacentral:rRNA from 1 species